UACGGAGGGUGCUAGCGUUGUUCGGAAUUACUGGGCGUAAAGCGCGUGUAGGCGGCCGAUUAAGUCUGGUGUGAAAGCCCCGGGCUCAGCCCGGGAAGUGCGCUCGAAACUGCGCGGCUCGAGUGCCGGAGGGGAGAGUGGAAUUCCUGGUGUAGCGGUGAAAUGCGUAGAUAUCAGGAGGAAUACCGGUGGCGAAAGCGACUCUCUGGACGGCAACUGACGCUGAGGCACGAAAGCGUGGGGAGCAAACAGG
rnacentral:rRNA from 1 species